CUGUGAGCUCGAUGAGUAGGGCGGGACACGUGGUAUCCUGUCUGAAUAUGGGGGGACCAUCCUCCAAGGCUAAAUACUCCUGACUGACCGAUAGUGAACCAGUACCGUGAGGGAAAGGCGAAAAGAACCCCGGCGAGGGGAGUGAAAAAGAACCUGAAACCGUGUACGUACAAGCAGUGGGAGCACGCUUAGGCGUGUGACUGCGUACCUUUUGUAUAAUGGGUCAGCGACUUAUAUUCUGUAGCAAGGUUAACCGAAUAGGGGAGCCGAAGGGAAACCGAGUCUUAACUGGGCGUUAAGUUGCAGGGUAUAGACCCGAAACCCGGUGAUCUAGCCAUGGGCAGGUUGAAGGUUGGGUAACACUAACUGGAGGACCGAACCGACUAAUGUUGAAAAAUUAGCGGAUGACUUGUGGCUGGGGGUGAAAGGCCAAUCAAACCGGGAGAUAGCUGGUUCUCCCCGAAAGCUAUUUAGGUAGCGCCUCGUGAAUUCAUCUCCGGGGGUAGAGCACUGUUUCGGCAAGGGGGUCAUCCCGACUUACCAACCCGAUGCAAACUGCGAAUACCGGAGAAUGUUAUCACGGGAGACACACGGCGGGUGCUAACGUCCGUCGUGAAGAGGGAAACAACCCAGACCGCCAGCUAAGGUCCCAAAGUCAUGGUUAAGUGGGAAACGAUGUGGGAAGGCCCAGACAGCCAGGAUGUUGGCUUAGAAGCAGCCAUCAUUUAAAGAAAGCGUAAUAGCUCACUGGUCGAGUCGGCCUGCGCGGAAGAUGUAACGGGGCUAAACCAUGCACCGAAGCUGCGGCAGCGACGCUGAUGCGUUGUUGGGUAGGGGAGCGUUCUGUAAGCCUGUGAAGGUGUACUGUGAGGUAUGCUGGAGGUAUCAGAAGUGCGAAUGCUGACAUAAGUAACGAUAAAGCGGGUGAAAAGCCCGCUCGCCGGAAGACCAAGGGUUCCUGUCCAACGUUAAUCGGGGCAGGGUGAGUCGACCCCUAAGGCGAGGCCGAAAGGCGUAGUCGAUGGGAAACAGGUUAAUAUUCCUGUACUUGGUGUUACUGCGAAGGGGGGACGGAGAAGGCUAUGUUGGCCGGGCGACGGUUGUCCCGGUUUAAGCGUGUAGGCUGGUUUUCCAGGCAAAUCCGGAAAAUCAAGGCUGAGGCGUGAUGACGAGGCACUACGGUGCUGAAGCAACAAAUGCCCUGCUUCCAGGAAAAGCCUCUAAGCAUCAGGUAACAUCAAAUCGUACCCCAAACCGACACAGGUGGUCAGGUAGAGAAUACCAAGGCGCUUGAGAGAACUCGGGUGAAGGAACUAGGCAAAAUGGUGCCGUAACUUCGGGAGAAGGCACGCUGAUAUGUAGGUGAAGUCCCUCGCGGAUGGAGCUGAAAUCAGUCGAAGAUACCAGCUGGCUGCAACUGUUUAUUAAAAACACAGCACUGUGCAAACACGAAAGUGGACGUAUACGGUGUGACGCCUGCCCGGUGCCGGAAGGUUAAUUGAUGGGGUUAGCGCAAGCGAAGCUCUUGAUCGAAGCCCCGGUAAACGGCGGCCGUAACUAUAACGGUCCUAAGGUAGCGAAAUUCCUUGUCGGGUAAGUUCCGACCUGCACGAAUGGCGUAAUGAUGGCCAGGCUGUCUCCACCCGAGACUCAGUGAAAUUGAACUCGCUGUGAAGAUGCAGUGUACCCGCGGCAAGACGGAAAGACCCCGUGAACCUUUACUAUAGCUUGACACUGAACAUUGAGCCUUGAUGUGUAGGAUAGGUGGGAGGCUU
rnacentral:rRNA from 1 species